GUCCACGCCGUAAACGAUGGGUGCUAGGUGUGGGCGGUGUCGACUCCGUCCGUGCCGAAGCUAACGCAUUAAGCACCCCGCCUGGGGAGUACGGCCGCAAGGCUAAAACUCAAAGGAAUUGACGGGGGCCCCGCACAAGCAGCGGAGCAUGUGGUUCAAUUCGACGCAACGCGAAGAACCUUACCAAGGCUUGACAUGCACAGGAAUGUCCGGAGAAAUUCGGCAGCCCUUCGGGGCCUGUGUACAGGUGGUGCAUGGCUGUCGU
rnacentral:rRNA from 1 species